UUAGAGUUUGAUCCUGGCUCAGGAUGAACGCUAGCGGCAGGCUUAACACAUGCAAGUCGAGGGGCAGCACAUGACGUAGCAAUACAGAUGGUGGCGACCGGCGCACGGGUGAGUAACACGUAUGCAACCUACCUUCCACAGGGCGAUAACCCGUUGAAAAACGGACUAAUAGUCCAUAAUACAGGGAUCCCGCAUGGGAAUAUUUGUUAAAUAUUUUUUCGGUAGAGGAUGGGCAUGCGCUCCAUUAGCCAGAUGGUGAGGUAACGGCUCACCAUAGCAACGAUGUCUAGGGGUUUUGAGAGGAACGCCCCCCACACUGGGACUGAGACACGGCCCACACUCCUACGGGAGGCAGCAGUGAGGAAUAUUGGACAAUGGAUGGAAAUCUGAUCCAGCCAUGCCGCGUGCAGGAAGACGGCCUUAUGGGUUGUAAACUGCUUUUAUACGGGAGCAAUAAGGGUUACGAGUAAUCCGAUGAGAGUACUGUAUGAAUAAGGAUCGGCUAACUCCGUGCCAGCAGCCGCGGUAAUACGGAGGAUCCGAGCGUUAUCCGGAAUUAUUGGGUUUAAAGGGUGCGUAGGCGGCCAUUUAAGUCAGCGGUGAAAUUUUGCAGCUUAACUGUAACAGUGCCGUUGAUACUGUUUGGCUAGGAUUUGGUUGUAGUGUGCGGAAUGUGUGGUGUAGCGGUGAAAUGCUUAGAUAUCACACAGAACACCGAUUGCGAAGGCAGCACACUAAGUCAUUAUUGACGCUGAGGCACGAAAGUGUGGGGAUCAAACAGGAUUAGAUACCCUGGUAGUCC
rnacentral:rRNA from 1 species